AGAGCGAGAGAGCAGACCAAACAAGAUUCCAUCACGCACAUACCAGCAAAAACAACAACAUGACCAGGUAUGAGUUUGCCAAUAGGCCUUGCGGUAGUUGGCAACUCGGCGGAGAGAGUGAGACACAGAGAGCUCAAGGGAGAGAGUUACACAAACUCCGCCAAUAAAGCUUGGCUUAAAGCAAAGAGCUAGUCUAUUAGUUUCCCACGCUGCGCAAGACAGUUACGCUCAGUGAGCAUGACCCGCGCUUUUCCUCUCUCUCUCUCUCUCUCUCUUGCUCACUCUCGCAUAGAAGUUACCUGUGCUGCUCCACCAACACAUUCGUCCUCCACCACACAUACACACGUACACCUGCACACUGUUUGCUCUGCUCUUCUUCUUCCUUCUCCUCUUCAUCGCUUGCUCAAUUACCAACGGAGAACGGUGAUUGCCCACGUAGAAUAGACUGCUUACCUGGUUACCUUACCUUUUGGCCAGAAUCAUCAUUUCCAGCUAGUGGCCAUUAUUUGCAACAGGCGACGGCGACUAACUGGCUGACAACCGAGCAACGUAAACGCGUUUUGGUCAAAACGAAUAAGAGCGCGAGCGAGAGAGAGAGUGGGAAAAGCAUCGGGAGCGCACAGGUAAGGUAUUGGUGUGCGUGGGCCGCUUAUUUGAGGAGCAACCGUGUCACGACCCCCAACUACUUGCACUUAUCGAUAUCAGAAUGUAAACUCCCCCUUUAAAGGUGCAACAUAAAUACUUUACUAGAAUAAAAGUUAACUUCCUUAAAAAAAAACAAUAUUUAUGCUGUAAUUCUUAAUUACCUGUGUUUUUAUUUAACAAAAAUACCAAUCACUACUACAUUUUUUGAUCUGAAAGAUACCAGUUAAUCCGCUAGUGGAAGUGCGAACGAGAAUAUACAUCUACGAGUAACGGAUAUACCUAAUUCGACAGAGUGUUUCCCGACUAUCAGAUAUCCAUCUUUCAAAUAGUGUUAAGCCCAAUCAUAAAAACAUGACAGAGCCGACUACCCAAGAAGUAGUUAAAUUUGCUGCAGAGGAGAAGACACAUUUAAUAGGGAGUUUUUUGGAAUAUAGCACAAUAUAAACAUAUAAAAUGACAUACUGAUAGGGACAAACAGCAAA